rnacentral:rRNA from 1 species
CCCUUAGAUGUUCUGGGCCGCACGCGCGCUACAAUGGCAGACUCAGCGAGUUACCUCUGUCGAAAGGCACAGGGAAUCUUUAUAGUAUCUGCCGUGAUGGGGAUAGACCCUUGUAAUUUUUGGUCUUCAACGAGGAAUUCCUAGUAAACGCAAGUCAUUAACUUGCAUUGAUUACGUCCCUGCCCUUUGUACACACCGCCCGUCGCACCUACCGAUUGAAUGGUCCGGUGAAGUCCUCGGACCCAGUUGAACCUCGAGUUGAACAGGGAAAGUUGACUAAAUCUUACCAUUUAGAGGAAGGUGAAGUCGUAACA